GCCUGUUCAGCUCAUUCAGUGGAAGAGGGCAAGGCUCUUAACCUUGUGGUUGUGAGUUCUAUCUGAGCCCCUCACUGGGCA